rnacentral:rRNA from 1 species
CAGCAGCCGCGGUAAUACGUAGGGUGCGAGCGUUAAUCGGAAUUACUGGGCGUAAAGCGUGCGCAGGCGGUUAUAUAAGACAGAUGUGAAAUCCCCGGGCUCAACCUGGGACCUGCAUUUGUGACUGUAUAGCUAGAGUACGGUAGAGGGGGAUGGAAUUCCGCGUGUAGCAGUGAAAUGCGUAGAUAUGCGGAGGAACACCGAUGGCGAAGGCAAUCCCCUGGACCUGUACUGACGCUCAUGCACGAAAGCGUGGGGAGCAAACAGGAUUAGAUACCCCGGUAGUCCCUGUCUCUUAUAC